AGAACGAACGCUGGCGGCACGCCUAACACAUGCAAGUCGAGCGCCCAGCAAUGGGAGCGGCGGACGGGUGAGGAACACGUGGGAAUAUGCCUUUCGGUUCGGCACAACUGCGGGAAACUGCAGCUAAUUCCGGAUACGCCCUUACGGGGAAAGAUUUAUCGCCGAAAGAUUAGCCCGCGUCUGAUUAGCUAGUUGGUGAGGUAAUGGCUCACCAAGGCUUCGAUCAGUAGCUGGUUUGAGAGAACGACCAGCCACACUGGGACUGAGACACGGCCCAGACUCCUACGGGAGGCAGCAGUGGGGAAUCUUGGACAAUGGAGGAAACUCUGAUCCAGCGAUGCCGCGUGAGUGAUGAAGGCCUUCGGGUUGUAAAACUCUUUUACCAGGGAAGAUAAUGACUGUACCUGGAGAAUAAGCUCCGGCUAACUUCGUGCCAGCAGCCGC
rnacentral:rRNA from 1 species